GUGUGGGGUGUUGAGAAGCUGCUCUCCACAGGCUCAGCCCCCCACCGUCUGUGAGCUGUUGUCACUCAUGUUCCUUACCUGCUCCAACGAACCCCAAGAAGGUGAGGAUCAGGAGGGGCGACCCGCUGGCAAAGACGCCGAGCACAAAGCUGACGAGCGGCGACAGGAGGACGGUGGCCCAGAAGAGGAAGUUCAGGAGGGCCCAGGGCCGCCGGGCGGGCUUGAACUGCUCCCCGGGGAACACGCCCUCCUGGGCGUACAUCUCCUGCAGGGCGUCCUGCAGCGACAGGGACGGGGAGGCUCCUGAGCGCAGGCGAAAGCUGCUGUGCAACGACAACCCAGGACAAAGCCGCCGAACAGAGCAGAGGGCGUCGCUGCUGCGGGGUGCGAGUCGACAUCGCCUUCUGUGGGACCCCUGGCAGCUCGGCGUCAAAGCCCCAAGACAUCCACACCCUCGGACGCGGCCGUCUCCCGAGAAAACCACCCAUCAGAUGUGACUCAAUCAACUGCCAGUGAAAUGUCUGAUUGGAUAAUUUCCAUGGAGAUAUGGACCCUGCCCAUUCAGGUGCUUGCCGCCCCGACUGCACUGAGCAAGGGUCUCUGCAUCUUCCACCACUGAACUGGGGAGCUUCCACUCGGCCCCGGGUGAGGACAGGCUCCAGCUCGUACGUUCAAAGGAGAAACGUCAAGUAAGUGCAGAACUGACCACGUUCCACAGGUCACAAGCAGGACCCGGGAGCGGGAGACACGGCGCCCGCACCCUCCUGGCACCCAGCCCGGUGGGAACCCGAGAGGGCCAUGCUUCUCAACUAAACUGGUCCGUGCAGACCCACAACUCUGUCCUGCCCUCAGGGCCGGACAUGUCCCGGAAGUCACAACCGGUCAGCCUUCAGAAAGGGAGUGGGCACGCGUGAGCAUCGUUUACAAAACGAGCCCACGAUCAGCCCCCAGCGUCUGUGCGGCACAUCGGACCGUUCGCACCACGUGGGGGAAGGACUUCAAACCCACACCGCGGCUCCGAUCUGGUUUUAUCCCUUAAUGCGUUUGUACUGAACUUAGGAAAACACUUUCCAUAUUCAGAACUCUUGGAUUUCAGAAGUGGGGAUAAAGGAGUGCCGAUGUGUAUACCCACGACGUGAGAUUAUAGUCUUCAGAAAGUUAGCCUUUCAGGUAAACAUGAAAUUUUAAAUACUGCUGAAAUUACACAGUACUAACACAUGUAGCUACGAGUCUGACAAAAAUCACUUUUUUCUCUAUAAAUACCAAUCACUUCUCCCUAACUGUUUGAGGAGAGUCUUCACACAGGGCCACUCGUGCUGGGAAGGCGGUGGGUGGCUGUGCCACAGGGUCACAUCCAGCUUAGAAGAAAGGUUCUUUUUCAAUUAUAAGAAUGUUCAAAGACCCUUCAGAAGAACGUCACAAGGGCAGCCACGGAUGCAGCAGGCUUGGCAGUUCCCAGCAUUGUGUCCUGUUGGCUGCGUGGGGCGGUACGGGGUCUGGGACCCCGAGACGCCGGCCCGUGCCCCUCAGCUCUCUCUCCUCAGAGACGGGCCAACCCCGACACGCCUGCAUCCACUUUUAUCAGACAAAGUUCUGACUUUUAUCUUUAAAAUUGCAACGUUCCAUUUCCCUAUCGUCAGCAAAUAAGUGUUAGUUCUUCUUUACCAAAUCUCACACCUUUAACAUCUGUGUCACUUAUCUCCUGGUGCUCUCAGACCUCCAGUCCCAGGGGAAACAGCAGCCAUCCUGGUCUUACUCCCGAUUUUAAAAGGAACAUUUAAUGUUAAAACUUGCCCCCAUCCAGACUUAUAUUUGUGGUGGCUUUAAAAAAAUACUCUACCAGA